UACGUAGGUGGCAAGCGUUGUCCGGAUUUACUGGGCGUAAAGGGAGCGUAGGUGGAUAUUUAAGUGGGAUGUGAAAUACUCGGGCUUAACCUGAGUGCUGCAUUCCAAACUGGAUAUCUAGAAUGCAGGAGAGGAAAGUAGAAUUCCUAGUGUAGCGGCGAAAUGCGUAGAGAUUAGGAAGAAUACCAGUGGCGAAGGCGACUUUCUGGACUGUAACUGACACUGAGGCUCGAAAGCGUGGGGAGCAAACAGG
rnacentral:rRNA from 1 species